UACGUAGGGUGCAAGCGUUGUCCGGAAUGACUGGGCGUAAAGGGCGCGUAGGCGGAUGGCACAGUCAGAUGUGAAAUUCCCGGGCUUAACCUGGGGGCUGCAUUUGAUACGUGUUGUCUUGAGUUCGGAAGAGGGUCGUGGAAUUCCCAGUGUAGAGGUGAAAUUCGUAGAUAUUGGGAAGAACACCGGUGGCGAAGGCGGCGACCUGGUCCGACACUGACGCUGAGGCGCGAAAGCGUGGGGAGCAAACAGG
rnacentral:rRNA from 1 species